CCUACGGGAGGCAGCAGUGGGGGAUAUUGCACAAUGGGGGAAACCCUGAUGCAGCGACGCCGCGUGGGUGAAGAAGGGCCUCGGCGCGUAAAGCCCUGUCAGCAGGGAAGAAAAUGACGGCACCUGAAGAAGAAGCCCCGGCUAACUACGAGACAGCAGCCGCGGUAAUACGUAGGGGGCAAGCGUUAUCCGGAUUUACUGGGGGUAAAGGGGGCGCAGACGGGGAUGCAAGACAGGAGUGAAAGCUCGGGGCCCAACCCCAGGACUGCUCUUGGAACUGGGUGGCUAGAGUGCAGGAGGGGCAGGCGGAAUUCCUGGUGUAGCGGUGAAAUGCGUAGAUAUCACGAGGAACCCCGGUGGCGAAGGCAGCCUGCUGGACUGCAACUGACGUUGAGGCCCGAAAGCGUGGGGAGCAAACAGGAUUAGAUACCCUUGUAGUC
rnacentral:rRNA from 1 species